UACAGAGGUCUCAAGCGUUGUUCGGAUUCAUUGGGCGUAAAGGGCGUGUAGGCGGCGCCGUAAGUCGGGUGUGAAAUUUCGGAGCUUAACUCCGAAACUGCAUUCGAUACUGCGGUGCUUGAGGACUGGAGAGGAGACUGGAAUUCAUGGUGUAGCAGUGAAAUGCGUAGAGAUCAUGAGGAAGACCAGUGGCGAAGGCGGGUCUCUGGACAGUUCCUGACACUGAGACGCGAAGGCCAGGGGAGCAAACGGG
rnacentral:rRNA from 1 species